GUAGGGGGCAAGCGUUAUCCGGAUUUACUGGGUGUAAAGGGAGCGUAGACGGAACAGCAAGUCUGAUGUGAAAGACCGGGGCUUAACCCCGGGCCUGCAUUGGAAACUGUUGAUCUUGAGUGCCGGAGGGGUAAGCGGAAUUCCUGGUGUAGCGGUGAAAUGCGUAGAUAUCAGGAGGAACACCGGUGGCGAAGGCGGCUUACUGGACGGCAACUGACGUUGAGGCUCGAAAGCGUGGGGAGCAAACAGGAUUAGAUACCCUGGUAGUCCACGCCGUAAACGAUGACUACUAGGUGUCGGGUAGCAAAGCUAUUCGGUGCCGCAGCCAACGCAAUAAGUAGUCCACCUGGGGAGUACGUUCGCAAGAAUG
rnacentral:rRNA from 1 species